rnacentral:rRNA from 1 species
CAACACUGCGAAAGUGGUGCUAAUACCGAAUGUUGUAUUUUAGAUGCAUAUUUAAGAUACUAAAGGUGGCCUCUAUUUAUAAGCUACCACUAGAAGAUGGGUCUGCGUCUGAUUAGCUAGUUGGUGAGGUAAUGGCUCACCAAGGCGACGAUCAGUAGCCGGUCUGAGAGGAUGAACGGCCACACUGGGACUGAGACACGGCCCAGACUCCUACGGGAGGCAGCAGUGGGGAAUCUUCCGCAAUGGACGAAAGUCUGACGGAGCAACGCCGCGUGAGUGAAGAAGGUUUUCGGAUCGUAAAACUCUGUUUUCAGGGACGAAUGUGCGAUAUGUGAAUAAUGUGUUGUAAUGACGGUACCUGACAAGAAAGCCACGGCUAACUACGUGCCAGCAGCCGCGGUAAUACGUAGGUGGCAAGCGUUGUCCGGAAUUAUUGGGCGUAAAGCGCGCGCAGGUGGGAUAAUAAGUCUGAUGUUAAAGUUCGGGGCUCAACCCCGUGAAGCAUUUGGAUACUGUUAUUCUUGAGUGCAGGAGAGGAAAGUGGAAUUCCUAGUGUAGCGGUGAAAUGCGUAGAUAUUAGGAGGAACACCAGUGGCGAAGGCGACUUUCUGGACUGUGUCUGAC